rnacentral:rRNA from 1 species
AACGAACGCUGGCGGCAGGCUUAACACAUGCAAGUCGAACGCAUCGCAAGAUGAGUGGCAGACGGGUGAGUAACGCGUGGGAAUCUACCCAUCUCUGCGGAAUAGCUCUGGGAAACUGGAAUUAAUACCGCAUACGCCCUACGGGGGAAAGAUUUAUCGGGGAUGGAUGAGCCCGCGUUGGAUUAGCUAGUUGGUGGGGUAAAGGCCUACCAAGGCGACGAUCCAUAGCUGGUCUGAGAGGAUGAUCAGCCACACUGGGACUGAGACACGGCCCAAACUCCUACGGGAGGCAGCAGUGGGGAAUAUUGGACAAUGGGCGCAAGCCUGAUCCAGCCAUGCCGCGUGAGUGAUGAAGGCCUUAGGGUUGUAAAGCUCUUUCACCGAUGAAGAUAAUGACGGUAGUCGGAGAAGAAGCCCCGGCUAACUUCGUGCCAGCAGCCGCCGUAA